UCUCUUGGUAUCGUCUGAUUUCUUAUAUGAAUAUAAAUCAUGUCCUUAAAUUUUCAAUUGCACAAAAUACGAACAUUUCAACGUCUUUUUAAUUAAACAAUUAAAUUCACACGUCUUUCAUUUAUUAUUUGUAACCUAUUAUAAAACUUUACGUUGAGUACUGUGUUUUUCGUUCAAGACUACGGCUUUUUAAAACGAUAUUGUUGGGUCAAUUCAGGUUUCAUUUUAAUUAUUUGAUAUCAAUAGAAGAAAAAUUGUUACAUGUUUAUUUGUUUAUAAUUUUGUUGUAAGGCGUUUUUUCUUUCUGUUGAUAUCAUAAACACGAAAUGCCUUCUCCUACGCGUCUAAAAAAAACCAGUGUUCUUUAGUCAGACUGCACACAGAACAACUUACAGAAUGCUGUGAUUUCUAAUUAGAGUUAUUUAGAUAAUUUCUAUGAGGUUUUAAGACAGCACAGGCGUGCUCGUUGGAUUCACCAUAGACC
rnacentral:lncRNA from 1 species